CAUCCGGGUGCCGCUGUGACCAUCCCAGCACAUGCUGUGUGAUUCUGAGGCGCCUGUGACAGGGAGUCAGGCUGGAAGAGGAGCCUUCCCAAGGACAUCCUAACUCCCCACUGUCAGAAGCAGAUGACCAUAAGGCUGAUCACAGGCUGAGCCCCGCCUAAGCGGGUCCUGAGCAAGCUAGGCAAAAGGGUGUAAGCUAUGUUUGCUAAGCCACCCAGGGAAUGGCUUGGCAGUGUGGGAUGAAGCAGCCACACUCAUGCUAAUAAUCACCCGUCAGAAGCCUGGAAAACCGAACCUAUUGUCAGUAUGUACACAGAGCAAGCACCUUCGGCUGGUGCAAACCCAAUGGGACUCUUGUCUGACUGAGGGAGUGGAUGCCAGUGGGACUUGACUCAGGUACGAGGACAAGGCAAGGAGAUGGCUGCGUGAGAGGGCAGAGAAGAAAUCCAUGGUGAGGCUACUGACUGGCCAACAACAAGCAGCAGUCUUAGGCAACUGCACACUUUAAAAUUCUGAGCUAUUUCAUUCAGGGAACAACAACAUCAAAAAAUCCAUUGGGAAAAUG